UUAGUCUUGUAAUUCAAGACUGGCAUGAAAGAGAAAACUAAAGGAAUAAUAUUUUUAUUAUAGUUUUCCAAUUUUACUUUUUAGUAAAAAGGCUAAAAUUCCUCUUAAAGACAAGAAGACCCUGUAAAACUUAACAUAUAAUUAUCCUAUAAAUUAAAUAGUAUGUUUAGCUGGGGCGGCAGAGAACCAAACAUUCUUAUAAUAUUAUAAUAAUUAUCAUACCCAGAAAUUCUGAAAAUUAAACAAGCUACUUCAGGGAUAACAGCGUAAUAUAUUUUGAAAGAUCUUAUUGACAAGUAUGUUUGCGACCUCGAUGUUGGAUUG
rnacentral:rRNA from 1 species